rnacentral:misc_RNA from 1 species
CAGCCACAAAAAUCAAGUUAUUGCUGCAGUAAAUUACAUAUCUGGUGGUGACCAUGCCCAGGUGGCGGGAGCUAUGCAGCUUCUUUAUUUGUCCGAGACCUUAAAGAAGGUGUAUGAUAGGAUCAAAUUGUUUAUGCCAUCCAUUUUGGGGUCGGUUUCAAACUCAGGAUCAAUGUAAAAGAAAACAGGCAUGUCAAUCUGCUCCUAUCAUACACCUUCUUUAAG